rnacentral:rRNA from 1 species
UACGUAGGGGGCAAGCGUUGUCCGGAUUUAUUGGGCGUAAAGAGCGUGUAGGCGGCUAGGUAGGUCCGUUGUGAAAACUCGAGGCUCAACCUCGAGCUGUCGAUGGAAACCAUCUGGCUAGAGUCCGGAAGAGGAGAGUGGAGUUCCUGGUGUAGCGGUGAAAUGCGCAGAUAUCAGGAAGAACACCCGUGGCGAAGGCGGCUCUCUGGUACGUGACUGACGCUGAGACGCGAAAGCGUGGGGAGCGAACAGG